AGCAAUGGAGUCACCACCCCUGGGGAUAUUUAAAAGGCAUGUAGAUGUGGCACUUAGGGACAUAGAUUAGUGGUGUCAGUGCUAGGCUAAUGCCUGGGCUUAAUGAUCCUAGAGAUCUUUUCUAGCCUAAAUAUUCUAUGAUUCUGAUAAAGGUAAUUGAUCACUGGAAUAACAACUUCUUAUUUGUGUUGACUUCUUGAUUCUGAAGACGCAGUAUAAAUAAUGUUUCUCCAAAACAACCCUCCAUCUUCUUGUAGCAAAAGGAUUGCAGAGGGCUUGUGAUUGUUUUAUACAGGAAACCAACCUUUCUUAUCAUGUGUUCCCCGUUUUCUUUAGCUUCUGAAUAAGGACUCUGUCCCUAUAUUAAAAGAAAUUUUGGAGGAUAAUAUGCUCUGAAAAUAGAAUUUUCGGAGAUUAUUAAUGUCUUGAAAGCAAGCCUCUAGAACCUGUUGUGUUGGGGUCUAAAGUUAGCUCUGUCACCAAGUACUCUCAGGAGCAAGUAAUUUUGUUACUAUUAUCAGUUACAACCUCUGUUACUUGUUAACCAAUGUCUUAAAAGCAAG